UGCUGCAACAUUCAGAAUUAAAGCAGGCUGCUGGAAAUCCCUCUUCAGACCAGUUGGAGCAGGGACACUAACAGACCUGUUUUAAGAACGGAGUUGCACACAUGAGAUCCGCAGAAGAGGAGCAGAAGGGCAGGAAGUAGAAUACAAAGAGGGACCACACAUCUUGAAGAACCUCCAGUUACAGGCAGAUGGCCCAGGCCUGGGGGAUGUUGAGGGAGUGAAGAUAUCGUCCCUCUGUCAAGGCGUGAGGCUUUGGGAAGAAAGAAGGUGGAUCACACAUGAGAGGACACCAGUAGCUCUGACUCAGACCAUGAGGCGGUGAGAAAGAACUGAGGGCACAGGCGGUCCACACAACCCUUCAUCACCUCUGAUGAAACCAUGAGGCAAAGCAAGGGCGCACACGCAGAUCAACGCAGAUCACACGCAGAUCAAGUGGUCAGCUGUCAUUCCAUAUAGCCUUGGCCCUUUAAAGUUUCAACAUCUGCCUGGCUGGAUCCAAGACUGACUUCACUUUUCUUUCCCAACUUCAAAAAUUACUCCAUGUCUCUAACUUAUUUUACUACCAGAAAGCUAAAAGCCAGACCAACACCUCAUUUGCUU